CAGGGUUCAGCAAAAUUUAAUACUCUCCCAGCAUAAAGCAUGUUUAUUGCUUUCUAUUAAUCAUUUUGAGUAUGUACACACAUACUAUAUAAAGCAUAGUUGUGAAUUUUCAAAAAAUUUGUAAAAGUGAAAUUUUUUUGCAGUGAUCUUCUGAGUUUAAAAUUUUGACAAUGCUCAGUUAAACAGGUGGCACAGGAGGAUCCCUGGGUGGCUCAGCGGUUUAGCGCCUGCCUUUGGCCCAGGACGUGACCCUGGAGUUCCAGGAUCGAGUCCCACGUCAGGCUCCCUGCAUGGAGCCUGCUUCUCUCUCUGCCUGUGUCUCUGCUUCUCUCUUUCUCUCUCUGUGUCUCUCAUGAAUAAAUAAAUAAAAAUAUUUUAAAAAGAUAAAUAAAUAGGUGGCACACAUUAGGCCUCCAUACCUAAGAGCUCUGUGAGUUUGGACUUUUUGUGCUCAAGUUUCUCUUUUGUAAGAUGGAAGGAAUGCCUGGUGAAGCAUCCAAUGAAAGAAUAAGCAUGAAAUUACUGCCAAGGUGCUGAGAAAAUGUAAUUAAGUACUAAAAAAUGAACAGGAUUAUCUUCCCUUGGCUCUUUAAUAAAAUGCCAAGUGGUUACUUUUAUAUUCUUCUGGUCCGUAAUGUGCUGAAAGUGUAAGCAUAUAGAAAUGACACCUGUGGACAGUAAGGUGGAUUAUGGAGCUAUGGUGGAUCAAUGAAACAAAAAGCUUCCAAUUACUCCUUACAGAAAGACAUUAUUUCCCACAUUUUUACAUAAAAUUAGAAUAUUACUCAAAAUGAUACUUUGUGCCUGCAGCUUUCCUUAAUUAUUCCUUAGAUAACUGCCUUCUAAACAGUCAUAGCUAUUUUUGGUGUUUCCACUGGGAAAUCACAAUAGACUUGUGUAAUACCACUCUCUUCACAGAAUAAACUUUGGGUAGGCUAGAACAGUGCAGAUCAUCAUAACCUUUUUUCAAACUGGGAGAGACUCCAGGGUUUAAUGAGGGUUUAUAAUAUGCAGUUAGUAUAGAAGCAAAAUUUAACUGUAAAUACAGGUAAAUUGAAAUGCUCUCAAAUGAUGUUAAACGUGAAGAAAUACCACAAAUAUCUGUGACCCAAAUCAGUGACAAGUCUCAAGUCCCAGAUAUCCAGGUCCAAACUCAUGAUCACAUAUUACAUAGAGAAAACCACAAAAAAGAUGAAUACUGUUAAUCACAGGGAUGGAGGACUUCAUUUCUACUGUCCUCUGUUUACUUUCACACCCCAAGUUGUUCCUGAAAGUGUUUAAGAUCUAUUGCAUGGUGGAAAUUCAAGUGGUCAGUAGGGACAUUCUCACUCACCAAGGCUCCUAUCCUCAUAGAUAUGCACAAUCCCAGCCUAUUAUUUCAUGUCAUUGCCUACUUUCCUUCAAAGCCCUUACUUCCAUCUUAUUAUCCAACAUUUUACUAUUUGUUAACCAUCUCUCUUGCUCACAAAUCUAUGAGCACCAGGAGUGCAAGAACAUGUGUGUUUAAUGCCCCUAAAUUGAAAUACUAUACGGACUUUAUUUUUGCUACACUGGGUAUGUUUUGAGUAUUAUGGUGCCUGACAAGUAAGGGAUGUUCAAAAAUUAGCAUCAAGAAUAUCCCUGAGGGGCACUUACGUGGCACAGUUAAACAUCUGCCUUCAACUUGGGGAGUCCUGGGAUUGAGCCCCAAGUGGGCUUCCUGCUCAGUAGAGUAGUCUGCUUCUCCCUCUCCCUCUGCCCUUCUCCUGCUGGUGCCUGCUUGCUCUCAAAAUAUUAAACAAAACAAAAUAGAUGCCUAGGUGGCUCGGUUGGAUGGGUGUUUGCCUUCUGCUCAUGUCAUGGGUCCUGGGAUCAAACCCCACUUCUCCCUCUCCCUCGUGCUCUCUCUUCUCUCUCAAAUAAGUAAUCCUUUUUAAAAAUAAAAAAAUAAUUUAAAAAAGAGUAGUCUCUGAGCAAGAAAGGCUUGAUUGGAAUAGUAAUUCUGUUUUUCUCCUUUGCUAGAUUUUGUUCUCUCAAUUUACAGGCUAAUGUAAAUUUACCUAACUUACCUAAACUUACAGGCUCAAUGACACCAAAAAGGAGGUACUAAACAUAGUUUACUAGGAAGUAAGUUUACACAUUUUCACUGAGAUACUAAGGUAAACAGUGGCCAUCAGCUUAUUGUAGGAAAUAUACUGAUGUUUAGAUAAGAGUAGGAAGGGCAACAGCUGUUCUUAGGGGACUGGCACUGUCCUUGUGAAGUCUCAUUUGUGUUGGAGAGAAAAAUACCAAACAUUUCCAUCAUCAAAUAAAGCAAUUUGGUGAUCAUGAUGAUCAAGACAAAAAUAAGGGUAUUUUGUAACCACAUCUCUCAAAAUGGAAAAGAGUCCAUUCCAAAUCACAAAAAUUACUAAAAUUCUCCUUUUAAUAAUAUAACUGACUGGAGCUUAUGAAUUAGGCUUAGCCCCACUACACUGGUAAUCAUUUUCUAGAAGGUAAAAACAAUGGUAGAAUUAAGCUCACCUCCACAUGGGCACUUGACAGGAUGAGCACUGGGUGUUAUUCUGUAUGUUGACAAAUUGAACACCAAUAAAAAAUAAAUUAUUAAAAAAAAAGCUCACCUCCACAAAGCAUCCAACACCUCCAGAAAUUUCUUGCUUUUACUGAAUAGCAAUCAAAUCACCUAGCAAAAACCCAAGUUAUGUAAGUCCUUUUAAUA
rnacentral:lncRNA from 1 species